UACGGAGGGUGCAAGCGUUAUCCGGAUUCACUGGGUUUAAAGGGAGCGCAGGCGGGCUGGUAAGUCAGUGGUGAAAGCCUUGAGCUUAACUCGAGAACUGCCAUUGAUACUAUCAGUCUUGAAUAUUGUUGAGGUUUGCGGAAUGGGUCAUGUAGCGGUGAAAUGCAUAGAUAUGACCCGGAACACCUAUUGCGAAGGCAGCAGUCUAAACAAAGAUUGACGCUGAGGCUCGAAAGCGUGGGGAUCAAACAGG
rnacentral:rRNA from 1 species